rnacentral:sRNA from 1 species
AAGACAACAAGGAUAUCCUAUUUCAUCGGAUGUAUUUUGCCAAUUCAAGGACAAAGCAGGAAAGUUUAAGGAAAGCAUUGUGAAUGACGUAGAAGGAAUGCUGAGCUUGUAUGAAGCAUCCCAAUUAAGAUUCCAUGGAGAAGAGAUACUGGAAGAGGCAUAUAGUUUCACUCUCAUUGAGUUAACUAAGUCAUUAACUACCAAAUUAAGUCCCUUUCUUUCUGGGUUAGUGCACCAUAGCAUAGGACAAGCAUUUCGCAAGGGAAUGCCUAGGUUGGAGGCAAGAUAUUAUAUAUCUUUCUACCAACAAGAUCCCUCACAUAAUGAAUGUUUGUUAACCUUUGCAAAACUAGAUUUUAAUAUGUUGCAGAAGCUCCAUCAAAAAGAAGUCAGCAGCGUGACCAAGUGGUGGGUUAAAGAUUUGAAUGUCUCGACCAAUUUUCCGUUUGUACGAGAUAGGAUGGUGGAAGGUUGCUUUUGGAUUGUUGGAGUCUAUUAUGAGCCGCAGUAUUGUCUAGCUAGAAGAAUACUGAGUAAAGUAGUUGCCAUGAUAUCCAUAAUUGAUGAUGUGUAUGAUGCCUAUGGAACCAUUGAUGAACUGGAGAUUUUCACCAAUGCAAUAGAAAGGUGGGAUAUCUCCUCAUUGGUUGAUCUCCCGGAAUAUAUGAAAUUAUGUUAUAAGGCACUUUUGGAUAUUUUUGAAGAAACAGAGCAGGAGUUGAGAAUGCAAGGAAAAGAAUACUUCGUCAAGUAUUCUAAAAAAGAAGUGAAAAGAUUAAUCCAAGCAUACCUUAGUGAGUCAAGAUGGUUUCAUACAAACCACACACCAACAGUAGAAGAGUAUAUGGAAGUUGCAACUGUGACAAGCACUUAUGCUAUGUUGACAACUGUAUCUUUCUUGGGCAUGGAAGACACAACAGAGGAGGUCCUCAUAUGGGCAACGAGUCACCCAAAAAUUAUUGAAGCUGCUUCAAUUAUUUCUAGGCUCAUGGAUGACAUUGUUGGAAGUGAGUUUGAGCAUGAAAGAGGGCACGUUGUGUCAAGCGUAGAUUGCUAUAUGAAGCAAUAUAAUAGUUCAAGGCAAAAUGCGAUUAAAGAACUGUAUAAGUUGGUGGAGAGUGGUUGGAAGGAUAUUAAUGAGGAAUGCCUUAAUCCUACUCAAGUACCAAUGAAGUUUCUCAUGCGUGUUCUCAACCUUGCACGAAUGAUGGACGUCCUUUACAAAGAACAAGAUAAUUAUACACAUUCAGGAGGAAUAAUGAAGGAUUAUAUCAAAGCUUUAUUAGUUAAUAAGGUGCCCUUGCA